AUGCACUUUUUCGGCCUUGCAGUUGUAGUAGUAGCAGGCCAAGGAAAGGCAGCAGCACAAAGGAAACGUCAAAAUGCCAACUGGACUAGUAGCCGAGCCGAAUCCGAUGAUGACCCAAGCCACCUGCCCACCUCACCCCACCCUCACGCGCUCUCUCACAUCCCGGCGACCAAUCCUAACCCUCUUUCUAUUAUUCUCUUUCCCUACUCUCACGCCUCUCUCAUGUGUCCGGCGCGUCAUCGCCGAACCGACCCCAACCUCUCUUUUUUCUAUUAACCCUUUCUUUCCCAAUCAAUAACCUAAAUCUCCCCUAACCAAAAACCAAUCCCCACCUUUUUUCGCUCUUCCCCCAACCCUCCCAUGGGCGACCUUAUGGAUUCCCUCACGCCGUCAACGACUCCUACCCCUCCUUCCACCACUCCCCACUCCCGUCCGUUACCUGUCCGUGAAGAUUGUUGGUCUGAGGAAGCUACCUCUACCCUCGUCGACGCUUGGGGUCGCCGUUAUCUCGAGCUUAACCGUGGGAACCUCCGUCAGAAGGAUUGGCAAGAUGUUGCUGACGCCGUUAACGCUCUUCACGGUCAUACUAAAAAGACGCACCGUACAGAUGUCCAGUGCAAGAACAGGAUUGAUACUAUCAAGAAAAAGUACAAGAUCGAGAAAACUCGUGUUACCUCCUCUAAUGGAACCCUAACGUCGUCAUGGCCUUUCUUUGAACGCUUGGAUGCUCUCAUCGGAUCCAAUUUCGCCGCUAAAAAGCUUUCUCCUUCGCCUAAGAUGUCCCCGAAGCCAUCGCCAAGGUUGUCACCGAGGAUCCCGGGGUCUCCUCCCAUGGCUCUCCCGCUUCCGCUGCCGUACAGAAGGACUCCGGCGUCGGCCACGGUUGCCGCACUUCCGCAGAAGAGGCCUGUGGCGGACGAUGGAAAUUUCAGGAGAAAUUAUUCUGCUGUUGCGGCUGCAGCUGCUGCUGCAGAAAGUGAUGAGGAGGGAGAGGAAAGCGAGGGACAGGAAACUGAAGGAGAAGGAGAGGAGAGGGAAGGGAUGAAGAGAUUGGCGAGAGCGAUAGAGAGGUUUGGGCAUGUGUAUGAAAAAGUGGAAGGGGAGAAACUGAGGCAGAUGGUGGAAUUGGAGAAGCAAAGAAUGCAAUUUGCUAAAGAUUUGGAAGUGCAGAGGAUGAGGAUGUUUAUGGAUACGCAGGUGCAACUCGAAAGGAUCAAGCGCGGCAAAGGAUCCUCGGGGUCCAGUGGAUGAUCUUUGAAUGACUUGAUGGUUUGAUAACACAAAGGGGUAAAAUUCAUUUAUGGAUGAGUGUUUUGGAUCAGUAUGUGGCAUAUUUGUACAAUAAACAAGGUUGCUGACAUUUAUAGCUAGCCAUAUAUGGGGGAAGAGUUUCGACUGUUUUUUGCGCGGGAAAAACAUGAAGAAUAUUGAUUUUUAUACUCAUCCCUUGAAAGUAUGUAUAGUUCUAGCUGAUAGUGGCCUCAGAACUCAGAAGUCAAUCAGCAGUUGGCAGAUAAGGUUGCCAGAGUUGUUAAAGUUUCUUUCUUUUGCCUUUCCCCCUUCAUUUUAGGGGCCAUAAAAGAACUGAACUCGUUGUAAUUUAAUUUGGGAUGUUGGAACUGGGCCUACAUUUGGUCCAAUGUCAUUUGUUUUAGUUGGUGAGUCUCUAACGUAUUAGCUUUUUUAAGCCUUUGUGUUUCUUGCAAUGUACAAGAUUAGGUUGUAUCCAGAAACUCUU